GACGAACGCUGGCGGCGUGCUUAACACAUGCAAGUCGAACGGAAAGGCCCUGCUUUUGUGGGGUGCUCGAGUGGCGAACGGGUGAGUAACACGUGAGUAACCUGCCCUUGACUGUGGGAUAACUUCAGGAAACUGGGGCUAAUACCGGAUAGGAGCUCCUGCUGCAUGGUGGGGGGUGGAAAGUUUCGGCGGUUGGGGAUGGACUCGCGGCUUAUCGGCUUGUUGGUGGGGUAGUGGCUUACCAAGGCUUUGACGGGUAGCCGGCCUGGGAUGGUGACCGGCCACAUUGGGACUGAGAUACGGCCCAGACUCCUACGGGAGGCAGCAGUGGGGAAUAUUGCACAAUGGGCGGAAGCCUGAUGCAGCAACGCCGCGUGCGGGAUGACGGCCUUCGGGUUGUAAACCGCUUUCGCCUGUGACGAAGCGUGAGUGACGGUAAUGGGUAAAGAAGCACCGGCUAACUACGUG
rnacentral:rRNA from 1 species